UACGAAGGGGGCUAGCGUUGCUCGGAAUGACUGGGCGUAAAGGGCGCGUAGGCGGAUGGCACAGUCAGAUGUGAAAUUCCCGGGCUUAACCUGGGGGCUGCAUUUGAUACGUGUUGUCUAGAGUGAGGAAGAGGGUUGUGGAAUUCCCAGUGUAGAGGUGAAAUUCGUAGAUAUUGGGAAGAACACCGGUGGCGAAGGCGGCAUCCUGGACCGACAUUGACGCUGAUGAGCGAAAGCUAGGGGAGCAAACGGGG
rnacentral:rRNA from 1 species